CGUUAGCGGCGGACGGGUGAGUAACACGUGGGUAACCUACCUAUAAGACUGGGAUAACUUCGGGAAACCGGAGCUAAUACCGGAUAAUAUUUCGAACCGCAUGGUUCGAUAGUGAAAGAUGGUUUUGCUAUCACUUAUAGAUGGACCUGCGCCGUAUUAGCUAGUUGGUAAGGUAACGGCUUACCAAGGCGACGAUACGUAGCCGACCUGAGAGGGUGAUCGGCCACACUGGAACUGAGACACGGUCCAGACUCCUACGGGAGGCAGCAGUC
rnacentral:rRNA from 1 species